rnacentral:lncRNA from 1 species
CAUGUGUCAUAUCUGAUGAAAGUCAACUUCACCAGAGGGGACCUUGUCAGUCUUUUCCAACGCUCUCCGUCUUUGAGCUUCCAUGAGCUGUCCCAGGAGAGCACCAGCCCUCAGAAGAAACUAUGAUGGAUUUUACUGCCAUGUUUGCCAAAAAGACAUCUCAGAACCUCUUGACUACUUGUAGACUUUGUCUGCCUUCUCCACAACAGAGUAAAAGGAAUUAUAACAGGAGAGAAAAACCUACAAAUCAAGCAAAAGACAUCUUCCUCAGGAGCGUUCUUCUCACCUGAAAGGCACAGUGAGAAAGGAAUGAAGUGUGCAUUGAAUCCGAAGCUUGGGUGAGGCCUCUCAGCCUUGGGACAGACAGCAGCACAGCCAAAGGGCCUCGAGAGAAACGAGGACUGAGUUUUGAAAAGCCUUCUGUGGCCAUUUGCACUCAGCUUUGGUAGUGGUAUGACUAUAUGAUGUGUGGAACUGUUGAAGCCAUCUUGUCACUAUGAGGUCACAACUUCAAGGAUGAGAGGCCCACACACUGUGGAUGCCCAAAUAGAAGGAUGAGAAAAGCCUGGGUUUUUGAUGGCAUUGCUGAGCUUCAGAACAAACCCUAGGCUCACCUAUCUCCAGCCUCUCAUCAAGGAAAACAACAAUUGUCUUUAUGGUUCAAAUCACUAAUGUGAAUCCCUCCUGCCACGGACGGAAGACUACACCGGGGAGAGAAUCACAGCUGCAUGCCUCUGGCUCUCAGGGAAGACAUUCUUUCUGUGUUCAACGCUGAAGCUCUAGUCCUGGUUCCUGUGUCAAAGCUGCUGUCUACCUAUCUCCCUGCAAGAGUUCAGCGACAUUUCACCAUGCUGGCAUUAUCAUUCUCUUCUUGUCAGCUUCUCUGGGACAGAUGAUACACGGGCUGCACAAUUUGGACAGACCCCGCGAGAAAAUGGCUUUCUAUGAACCUGGAAGUGGAUCCUUGCCAGAUACCAACUCUGCUGGCACCUUGAUCCUGGACCUCCCAGCUUCUAGAACUGUGAGAAAUAAAUGUUUGUUGUUUAAGCCAUCCAGUCUAUGGUAUUUUGAUGUAGCAGCCUGAGCUAGCUAAGAC